UAAUCAAAUAAUUAAUUAAUCUUUUUUUCUUUUUACUGUAAUAUGAGUCCGAUGUUGAUGAUGAUGAUGAUGAUGAUGAUGAUGAUGAUGAUGAUGAUGAUGAUGGUGGUGGUGGUGAUGAUAACGAUGGUGAUGAGUACGACGAGGAAGAAGAAGAAGGUGAAGAAGGAAAGUUGUAGGAGAAAGAAAGAAAGAAAAUAAGAAAAUAGAUGUGACUAAGAAGUUUAUGUGUCAGGAAGACACUCGGCAAAAAAUGGAAACGAAAUUGAAAGAAGAUGAUAAUGAAAAUAAUAAUAAUAGCCAACACUAUGGAAUAGCAACAGAAAAGAUGGUAUAGGCAUACGCUAGAAAAGGUCACACAAAAUGAGAAAGCAAUCAUACUCUGGGAUAUGCCAAUACACACAGAUAGAGAAAUUAAGGCUAAUAUACCGGACAUAGUUGUCAGAGAUUACCAAGGAAAAAUGCUUUCUAAUCGAUGUACCAAUACCAACAGAUAACAAUGUUUCUCUAAAACAAACGGAAAAACUUUAAAAAUAUAAAGAUUUUAAAAUAGAGGUAACUCGAAUGCGGAAUCUAAAAGCAGAAACAAUUCAUAUUAUAGUGGCUGCAUUAGGCAUGAUAAAAUAAUAUUCAGACAAAUCCAUAAUAAAAACAGCAUUGACAAACAAGUAUAUAUAACAUACAGAAAAUAGCACAACUAAGCACUGCACGCAUCCUACGUAAAACACUUUCAAUACAGUAAAAUUAAGAGCAUCACAGCAAACCACAACACAUACCAAAGCCACACAGAGCUGCGCUCGGAAGUGAAGUGAAAGCACGUUAUGAAAAUUAGACUACUGAAUAAUAAUAAUAAUAAUAAUAAUAAUAAUAAUAAUAAUAAUAAUAAUAAUAAUAAUAAUAAUAUUAAUAAUAACAACAACAACAACAACAACAACAACAACAACGACGAUGAUGAUGAUGAUGAUGAUGAUGAUGAUGAUGAUGAUGAGGAGGAUGAUGAUCAAUUGCCAGGACUGUAUAGAAGCAGAGGAAAACAACUUAGGGUGGUAUAUAAAAAAAUGUCGUUGUGCCACUGCUGAAACUCACGAAGGCCGGCGUCAUCAAAACUGUAAACUGAAAAUUGCACAGCUUAGGAAGAAGCGUUAAGUACCAAUUAUAUGAAGUACAGAAUAGACAAUACUACCGAUAGCGACAAAUGUAGAAUGUGUGGUGAGAGGGGUGAAAAGGUAUGGCACAUCGUUAGCGAAUGCCCGAAAUUGGAACAACGCAAAUACAAACUACGCCAUGACAAUGUGGCAAGAAUGAUCCAUUGGGAGCUUUGUGGAAAUCAAGGCCUACAAAGAGCAAAGACGUGGUCUGAGCAAACCCAAGAAAGAGUCACUGAAAAUAAGAACUGCAAAAUCCUGUGCGAUCACUUGACUAGACAUCGGAAACCGGACAUUGUUGUGGCGAAUAAAAAACAAAGAACAUGUACGAUAAUCGCCAUAGCAUGCCUCGGUGACAACAGGAUCAACGUGAAAGAAGAAAAAUAAACAACUUUGACGGUUUUAAGUGGAAAAUACGAAGGUUGUGAUCAAUGAGGAGAUUAGACCAAUAGCAAUUGGUGCACUUGGAAGUAUCAGCACUCAACGAACAACAUGGCUGAAAAAGACUGGUGCAACUGUGAAGGCAGAACACCUACAAAAAUCAGCAUUGCUUGGAACUGCAAGAAUUCUUCGCUGAGUUCUUGAAGCAUGACCAGUAAACAAAUGUCACCUUAAUCUGCUGGCUGUAGACAGCAAACAUUUUCCAUCUUACUCAACAAAAUAAGCUGUGAGCUUUCAUCACAUAAUAAUAAUAAUAAUAAUAAUAAUAAUAAUAAUAAUAAUAAUAAUAAUAAUAAUAAUAAUAAUAAUAAUAAUAAUAAUAAUAACAAUA